GCGGUAGCUGAGGAGGAGGGACAUUACCGAGUUUACACUCCCAAACCCCUGUGAACAUACCUAUACGUUGCCUCGGCGGAUCAGCCCGCGCCCCGUAAAACGGGACGGCCCGCCCGAGGACCCCUAAACUCUGUUUUUAGUGGAACUUCUGAGUAAAACAAACAAAUAAAUCAAAACUUUCAACAACGGAUCUCUUGGUUCUGGCAUCGAUGAAGAACGCAGCAAAAUGCGAUAAGUAAUGUGAAUUGCAGAAUUCAGUGAAUCAUCGAAUCUUUGAACGCACAUUGCGCCCGCCAGUAUUCUGGCGGGCAUGCCUGUUCGAGCGUCAUUUCAACCCUCAAGCUCAGCUUGGUGUUGGGACUCGCGGUAACCCGCGUUCCCCAAAUCGAUUGGCGGUCACGUCGAGCUUCCAUAGCGUAGUAAUCAUACACCUCGUUACUGGUAAUCGUCGCGGCCACGCCGUAAGACCCCAACUUCUGAAUGUUGACCUCGGAUCAGGUAGGAAUACCCGCUGAACUUAAGCAUAUCAAUAAUUCGGGAGGAAAU
rnacentral:rRNA from 1 species